rnacentral:rRNA from 1 species
CAAGUUUUUUAGUUUUUUUUGGGGGUUUGGCCCGGUCAAAGAAAAUUUUUAAAAACCCCCGUUUUUUUAAUGGGCAAAGGGAGCAUAAUAAUUAGUUUUUUAAAUGAGGUUUGGGAAGAAAGGGUUGGCGGAAAAAAUACUUUUUUUUUGAAAAUUUUUUGAAAUUUUUUUUUAAAUUAAAAAUUUUAAAAUUUUUAGAGGGGCGAAAAAACCCCAUAAAUUUUUUAAAAAAAAUUUUUUUUUUUUUUUUUGUUGUUUUAAUUUAAAAUUUUUUUUAUUUUUUGGUUGGGGUGACUAGCAAAAAUUUAAACUUUGUUUUUUUUUUACAUUUAUUUAUGUUUUUUUGGAUCCUUUAUUUAGAUUAAAAGAUAAAGAUACCUUAGGGAUAACAGCGUUAUUUAUUUGGAGAGUUCUUAUCGAUAAAUAAGUUUGCGACCUCGAUGUUGGAUUAAUUUUUGUUUGUGGGGUAGGUUUACAAAACUAGGUCUGUCGA